UACGUAGGGUGCAAGCGUUGUCCGGAAUUAUUGGGCGUAAAGAGCUCGUAGGCGGUUUGUUGCGUCGGCUGUGAAAUCCCGAGGCUCAACCUCGAGCUGUCGGCGGAAACUAUUUGGCUAGAGUCCGGAAGAGGAAAGCGGAAUUCCUGGUGUAGCGGUGAAAUGCGCAGAUAUCAGGAAGAACACCCGUGGCGAAGGCGGUUCUCUGGGACGGUACUGACGCUGAGACGCGAAAGCGUGGGGAGCGAACAGG
rnacentral:rRNA from 1 species